rnacentral:rRNA from 1 species
UACAGAGGUCCCGAGCGUUGUUCGGAUUCAUUGGGCGUAAAGGGUGCGUAGGCGGUCUUCUAAGUUUUGAUGUGAAAUCCCGGGGCUCAACCCUGGAAUUUGCAUUGAAUACUGGAGGACUAGAGUACCGGAGAGGAAACUGGAAUUUACGGUGUAGCAGUGAAAUGCGUAGAGAUCGUAAGGAAGACCGUGGCGAAGGCGAGUUUCCUGGACGGUAACUGACGCUGAGGCAAGCGAAGGCCAGGGGAGCAAACGGGA